rnacentral:lncRNA from 10 species
ACUGGGCAUGGUGGUGUGCACCUGUAGUCCCAACUACUUGGGAGGCUGAGGUAGAAGGAUUGCUUUAGUCCAGGAGCUCUCAGCUGUAGUGCACCAUGCCGGUCAGGUGUCCACACUAAAUUAAGCAUCAAUAUGGUGACCUCCCAGGAGCAGGGGACCACAAGGUUGCCUAAGGAGAGGUGAACCAGCCAAGUCAGAAACAGAGUAGGUCCAAACUACCAUUUUUAGGCCGGGCAUGGUAGCUCAUGCCUGUAAUCCCAGCACUUUGGGAGGCCAAGGUGGGCAGAUCACCU